rnacentral:rRNA from 1 species
AUUGAACGCUGGCGGCAGGCCUAACACAUGCAAGUCGAGCGAGCGGCGGACGGGUGAGUAAUGUCUGGGAAACUGCCUGAUGGAGGGGGAUAACUACUGGAAACGGUAGCUAAUACCGCAUACCAUCAGAUGUUCCCAGAUGGGAUUAGCUGGUAGGUGGGGUAACGGCUCACCUAGGCGACGAUCCCUAGCUGGUCUGCGAGGAUGACCAGCCACAUUGGAACGGGACAACGGUCAAGACUCCUAGGGAAGGCAGCAGUGGGGAAUAUUGCACAAGGGGCGCAGUCCUGCUGCAGCACUGCCGCGUGUGGGAAGAAGGCCUUCGGGUUGUAAAGCACUUUCAGCGGGGAGGCGUUACCCGCAGAGGAAGCAACGGCUAACUCCGUGCCAGCAGCCGCGGUAAUUC